AAAAAAAAAAAAUCCAAAACAAAACAAAAGGAGUUGCAGUUGUUCUAUAUGCCUUGGUAUAAGUUUGGAAUAGACAAUCUAAGUUAGGAGGAAUUGGCCAGAUCACUACUGGCACUUCAGGACCAUCCACUCCCACCACCUGUGAAAGAGGAGCUCUUCCCAGAUUUAGAACCCCAUCCAGUAGUCCCAGCCUCUGUAUCAUUGUUAAAACCACCUCCACUACCACCAGAGCUGUUCUUAUUUCCCCACCCACAAUUCCCACCAAAGUUACUGCUUCCAACCAACCAGUCAUUGCCGCUUGCAGCACCACUUCCGAGAAUACCCUGUGAAUCAGUACCAUUCCUGCCCAGGUUGGCUCCAUCAUCAUUCCCAGCUUUCCCAGACAGAUUCCAACUGUUUCCACCAGAAGGGUUGGCACCCCAACUUCCACCACUUCCAUUACCCUCAGAAAACAUUCUCUUUCCAUCACCAUCCACACCUUUAUCCUUAGGAUUUGUGCUCCAGUUACAUCCAAAAUCACUUCCAUUCCAACUGUUGCCAUGCACCUGCCCCUGCCAGCUUCUGCCCCCAAGGCCAUUCCCAUUCCAGCUAUCUCCAUUUCGGUUGCUGCUGUCAGAUGGCUCAUUAUCACUAGAGACACGUCCUGGUCCACGUCCACGUCCUUGCCCUCGUCCUCGUCCUCGUCCUCGU
rnacentral:misc_RNA from 1 species